UAGUGGUUGCUGUUCCCCGACAGAAGACUAAACGGGAUUUGGGUUGGAAAACGACUUUCUGGUGUGUUUUUUCGGCAAAGGCUCUGACCUGAUUUUCUUUGUUUGGGUUUCUUUCUUUGAUGUUAAAUCUGUUCACUUCGGCUGAUUCUUCCAAGACCACAGUGGUCGUCGGCUUCUUCCGGUCUAGCAGCCUCCAGCCACAGCUGUGUCUGUCCUUCAUGCUCAACGCGUGGCCUACACGCGCCAAGGAAGUCUCUCCUUGGCCUAGCGCGUGUGGGUCACGGCUUGUCUUCCUGGGCGAGGUAGGGGUUUUUCGAUGGAUCCGAGGUCUUCUGGCGGAUUUCUGCUGCUGAGGAGGUCUCCAGUACACGCGCCGUCGUUGGCGACGGCGCCACCCGACACCGGUCUCAAUUUGUACUUCUAUUUUAAGAACGUCCAAAAUUGGGAAUCAUCUUCUGAUACCCUCCUGCUCCGCCCUGCUUUCUCCCUCCUCCUCGCCCUAUCUGCCCCGCGUCUCUCUCACCUCCUCCCCGUGGCCAACCGUUACCCAAUCCCUCUCACACGCAAACCUCUCACUUUUCUCCACCUCUUCCUCUCCCGACAUUUUUCCUCUCGUUGAUAAGUCGAGUUCGACUUGCUCUCCUAUGAUUCCGCCGCCGAGUAGGCAACCGAGUCGGAGCUUCUAAAUGUAAGGCUUGGUGGUGAAGUUAUACAUGCAGGGACUAUCCAAUGUUACUGUCAAACAAUCAAAGAUUCCAUUCUUCCGGUUCGCGCACGCGAGAUCGUGCCGUUAUUUCGAUGCUCAAGGGUGUGCUACCCACCUACUUAACCUACUCAAGGUCCGAAUGCAGCUCCAGGGUGAAACCCAGGCCCCUAUCCCGAAACUGGCAGUCCAAAAUCUACGCCCGGCUCUCGCCAUCCAUGCCACCUCACUCUCCGCUCUGGGGUCCAUCCACUUGCCCACUCCAACAGCCUCAGGUGGCGCGUGCAGGCCUACUCUCCGUCGGCAUCCGUCUGGUCCAGCUAUAAGGUGUGGCCUCGUUGUUCUCGGGCAUCUCCGCCAAACUCUGUGAUUGUAGUCCACCACCCGAAUGAGUCUCUACGACAUCCUCAAGAAGUGGACAAAUCUGAACUCCGGCAACCUGUCGCUCGCGCGCAAGAUAGUGACUGGGCUCGUACAACAACAGGUGUUGAGAAUGCUCUUGGGUUUUAACGAGUGGUGGAUAGUCGAUGGACAGUGGACACAGAAAGGGAUGGGUAUUUUCGCAAGACGGGUAUUUUCACAAGUUCAUCUCACUAGAGACCAGGAGAUGGGAAUGGAGACCGAAGGAGUACAGUGGACACGAGAGGGAGGGGUAUUUUCGUCCAUUUCAAUAUUUCAUUAAACUCAAAUGAGCUUGCGUCCCAUUAAGUAGCUGUUUGCUACGUGGCAAAUUUAAAACCUUAAGAUUUCUUUUGAAAGCAUCCUCACCAUUAACCGGCUCCUCUCCAGUUCAAGUAAACUGGAGAGGAUUCGGAUCCUCUCACAUCAGCCGAAUAAUGUUGCUAUUCCUAUCAUCAUUACCUUUUGUGAGAGCAUCUCAUCGAGUUUGGCUUGCCUCCAGUGAAAAAUUCACAGGAGAUUCUCCGGUGAAAAAAUAAACAGGGGAGAUGACCUCCAGUAAAAAAAAAAAAAAAAUCACUAUAGUUCUCUCCCAAUUAUUCCAUCUCCACCAUUUUUUUUUUUCACUAGAGAGGCAAGCCAAA